GUCCUUGGAAUUCCAAUGUGCUACCGUUGUAUUGGAAGUUGUGGAAAAGGAGGGAAAAUAUGCCCUGUGAGGUUGAUCCAUCACGGGAUGAAGCUAUAUAAAUGCCUUGGGCCCGACCAAUAGUUGGAGAAUUGUUGCUGAUGCCUUGUGUCAUCUUAGCAUCAUUAACAAUAAUGGUUCCAAAAUUGGAGGGAGUUCUCGGCAUACCAGGGGCGCCGGCAACUGCAACACUGGUGGUAUUUGGUCCGCCCGUAAACACUUGAAGGUACACAGUAAUAUUUGUUUCCUUUCCACGCACUACAAGAAAUUUGGCCUUUUGUGACAACAUUCUCUGUGACAAGAGAGAAAGUUGUCACUAUUGAAAACUUUAGUGACGACUUUUAAUAUCGUCAUACUUGAUCGUGGUUUCACCCGUCAACAGUGACAACACGAGAUAAGUCGUCACAAUAUGGAUGGCGCGCAACUAUUCAGUGUGGCGGGAGAUCACCGUUGUGACGACUAGAAAACAUGUUGUCACUGAAACUCGUCCUACAGUGACAACUUAAAAUAUCGUCACAAUAUCGUUGUCAGUUCUAAAUUAAUGACAACAACUAGUCGUCACUGUCCAAAUCAUUUAUUCCCAUCUCACUUUCGCUAAUUCUACUAUGUCACCCUAAUAUUUUCAAUAUGGCCCAUAUGUUGUAAAUAAGUUUUAUUAAUUCUACCAUGGCAUCCUAACUUUUACAUUUUGACCCCAUAUACCACCUUAAUUUUUUUUAAUAUAGCCCAUGUGUUGUAAAUAAAUUUUGUUAAUUUUGCUAUGACACCCUCACUUUUACAUUUUAACCCCAUAUACCAUUUUAAUUUUUUGAAUAUGGCCCAUGUGUUGUAAAUAAAUUUUAUUAAUUCAACUAUGACACCCUAACUUUUACAUUUUGACCCCAUAUAUCACCUUAAUUUUUUCAAUAUGACCCAUGUGUUGUAAACAAAUUUUAUUAAUUCUACUAUGACACCCUAACUUUUAUAUUUUAACCCCAUAUACCACCUUAAUUUUUUCUAUAUAGCCCAUACGCUGCAAGUAAAUUUAAUUAAUUAUAUUAUGACACUCGAACUUUUACAUUUUAGCCCUUAUUUGGUAAACUAAGGUUAAAAAAUAUCCUGGAUUCCCUAUCUAAUUGUCUUGACAACACAUGAAAAAUUAUUGACUAGCAUAGUGUAAAAAUAAUGGCAAAGAACAAUAAAAUUCAACAUGAAAUUAAGUAAAAUCUUGACAAUAGCAUGGUUGGAGUUUAUUAUUAAUUACAAUAGUCACAUUAUUUAUGGUUUAUAAAUCGGUAUUUGUACUAAAUACAUUUAGUGUUUCAUGCAUGUAUUAGCAAACUAUUUUGGUUAAUUGAUCAACUAAACAGAUUGUUAGGCCUUGUCACACCACAAUUUCGUACAUAAUUAAUAAAAUUAUUAAAUUAAUACCAAAAAUAUUUGCAUUAAAAGAUUUUUUUGAAUCAUAAACAUAAUAAGACACUAAAUAUUCCAAAAACACUAAAUUAAUCCCAGAAACACUAAAUUUUCCAAAAAUUAUCCAAAAACACUAAAUUUUCAAAGUUUUAAUGUAACAAAUAAAGUUCCAAAUACAACUUGUGAAGUAAAAAAGCUCAAAAUAAUAACCUUAUUGUUGCAAUUUUUUUCGAACAAUAAUUUGAUCAAUUAGUCGUACAAAAGAGGAUGAAAGUGUUAUUUUUUGGUCUUAGCUAAAAUGGAAGCGGGAAGCUGAAAAUUGAAGAAGUACAUGAGGGUGAACAAAAGAAGCAGAAACGACAUAGUUUUGGCUUUGUUGUUUGAUAAAAACACCCACGACACUUAGCAAAAAUUUCAGACAAAAUUUUCUUUCCCUCUUCUUGCCAGUUUUGGACACUAUCAUCUUCUUCUUCUCUCCACUGCCAUCUUACUGAAAUUAUCCAAAAAAUCACUUUGAGCCACCAUUUUCAUCCCUAAUUUGAGCUACCCAAAAGAUUUGUGUAGAUUUUGUGGAGUUGCGGAUAGCAAAAAUCCCUAGAUCGGUGCAGCAAAAAUCCCUAAUCAGGAGGAGGAGCUGCUGCACAAUCGGGUCACCGGAGGCCGCCUAGUGUUACUACUGGUAUCUUACGAACGACGGCAUCGAGUUCCUGAGGACUUACCUCAAUCUUCCCUCUGAAAUUGUUCCUGCUACUCUUAAGAAGUCCGUCAAGCCCCUCGGUCGUCCUAUGGGUGGACCUCCUGGUGACCGCCCUCGCGGACCACCAAGGUUUGAUGGGGAUAGGCCCAGAUUUGGUGACAGGGAGGGGUAUCGUGCUGGUCCCGUGGACCUUCUGAUGAGUUUGGUGGUGAGAGCCAGAUUGAAAAAAUGGGAAGUAGUAAACCAGUAUUAUAUUAUUUAUAUUGCUCCCAUGUUAUAUUAGUAGUAAUAUUUCCCGUUGACUGCAAAAAAAAAAAAAUUGAAAAAAAACAAACAUAAAAGAGAAAGAAGAUGAAGAGAACGCACAGCAAACCGCAAAUCCUAUCUGAGAUAGAAUCCUUCUCAUUCAAUCAAUUUUUUUUUUUUUGCUUUUCCUUUUUCAUCUCCCUUAACCUGGCCGUUUGAGCACAGCCGUUUACUUGUACCAUUUUAAGCUUUUCUUUUUCUUUUUUUGGGAACAAUUUUUUUGUUUCAUCCUGUUGGAUCUUUCUUUGCAGCUGGUGUACGUUCCUUCUACAAGGGAAGGCCGCCCCUGUUAAGUUUCACUGCAGAGAUCUAAUUCUCACCCACUUUUUGCCUGGGCCCGGGAUUUUUUUUUCCCCUGCGCGAAUAUUUUGGCUAGACGUCUACUUGGUUUGUAUCCUUCUUUCUUUGUAAUUCUGCAAGAAUUUGCUAUCCUCAGUUUCAUUUACAUCUGUUACACGUAUAUCAGCACUUGAAGUUGGAUUACUUAUCUCUUAUUUAUUUAUUUUUGGAUCUCUUUAACCCGUUUAUUGCUAUUCGAAAUCCUUCAAAUUUGGCUAUUUUGGACGAAAACUUUUUGUCUUCUCGAAGUUGUAGCUAAUCCCUCUUGUUUCCCCCAUCCCACCCACGAAUUGAUGAUUUGGGUUGCCAGAAAGCUGAGAACUCAAGGACUGUUUGACAAAAUCCAUUUUAGGUUUUUAUUAGCAAUUGGUGGUGCGAAUUGGCAUAAAGCUCAGAACUUGAGUGAGUGAUAAGACCCUUCUUGAGAGCUGAAUUAUGUUAUUUGCAAUUUAGGCUCUCAGAUGUUGCAGUUGAAAGUUAUGCAUGUUGAGAUACGUAGUUGAUUGAGACUUAUCUAUAGUUUUGGUUGCUCUAGGUCUUCAAAUCAAUCUAAGGAAUUUCUUAAAAACAUGUGGUAGCACCUUUUUUCUGGGUUUAAUGGAUUAUACGCUGGUGCUUCUUGUUACUGAUAAAAAAAAAAAGGAUAAGCAGGAGAUUGCAAAGUAAGAAUUUUUUAUUCUUGUCAUAAGGCAGAGAUAAUUUGCUCGUUCUUGGCAUCCUAAAUUCUCUAUGAAUUCCUUGCAUUUGUAUAUUGAAGCGCUAAUCUAUAAAUAUUGAGUGGUUGAUUUCUAGAUAUCAGAUGUGAUUUUUUGAAUUCUUCAAUCUGAUUAUGAGAAUAAUCAGAUAAGUUUUCUACUAAUAUGCUUUCUCUUGUGUACUUAGAUUAUAAUUUGCCCUGGUGAUCGAGUUGCUUGUAGUCAUGUUAAUGCAAUUAUAGGAAUGGUAUUUUUGGCAUGGACUAAUGAAUGUUCUGCUUUCUUUGGUUUACUUACUUGAAUGUAUUAAGAUCGUCACUUCAAUGCUGUUAAGAUCUUCACUAAAAGAACCACCCAAUAUCCAUAGUUGAGACAAGCUGAACUAGAAGUCUAUCGCAACCUUGGUUAUAAAUGAAUGAUGGGGCUCAAAUCUUUCCUUGUCGAAACUGCUAUAGUUAUUAUGAUUUUCUUCUAUAUUUGUUCAAGGAGUUGACAUGUAAAUUUUUUUUAAAAAAGGUGUUGACAUGUAUGAUGAAUCUUGUUAACAGAUGCUGAGGAAGUUAAGUAAACAGCUGAAUGGUGAGGAUUGGAUGUGGAACAACCUAAAUACCUUGUGCUGGGCAAUAGGAUCUAUAUUAGGAUCAAUGAUGGAGGAACAAGUGUAUUGCUUUAUGCUGUAUAUUUUUCCUAUUUUUUAGUCUUUCUUCGCUGAGUGACUAUUUUCUGGCUUCUUUCUACUCAGAAUGAGACCUUGUGUUUGGAUAACUUUCAGUUUUGUGGUUCUUUUUCUUUUUCACCAUUUUCUUACUUUUAUUUUUUUGCAUCAACUGUGGCAGGAAAACAGAUUUCUUGUGAUGGUGAUACAUGAUUUGUUAAACCUUUGUGAGAUUACAAAAGGCAAAGACAACAAAGCAGUUAUUGCAAGUAAUAUAAUGUGAGAUGUUAAACUGCAUUUUCAUUCUGAUAGAGUAGGUAGCAGUAACUAGGCAUUCUUAUGUGAUAACUUUAUCUCAGUUAACUAUUUGCAAAUGAAAUUUAUUUAGGCAAAUGACCGUGAACUCCAGUUUUCCAUGGUUGAUGGUGAUUUCAAGAAGUUUGAAGGAAAAUGGUCUGUCAAAUCUGGUAAAACGUAAAUUCUGGUGUAACACAUUUUGCAUCUCCUUCCUGGUGAUUUGUUUCUGAGGAUGAUUAAAGACUCAAGUAUCAUUUGGUUCUUAACAUUUUUGGCAAUCCAAGCUGGUUAUCCAUCUCAACUAUUGCAUGAAAAUGUAGCCUCUUUAGUUUUGGAGUCUUUAUUCAACUAAAAUGAUAUUGUUUACCUUUACAUAGCACUGGUAAACAUCUUUAGUGCCUAAACUAUUGUCUACUGCUUUAAUGCCUAAAGGAGUCAGAUUUUGUCUACAGCCAAAGUGCAUUUCCAAAUAAUGUUGGACAUUUUUAGACUAACUCGAUGCACUAAAUAGUUAUAAUAUUAUUAAAGCAGUGCCUAGUUUUAAUUGUACAUAGUUUUAAUUGCAGCAAAUGAUGUGAAAAUUUACUAACUGGAUUUGUCAAACAUUUGAGGUUGUAAGGGUAUUUUCUUUUUUUCUUUCAGAUAGUCUGAGUAAUCAAUGGUUGAAUGUUCUUGCACUUGAUUAAUUUUGCUGCAGAAACUCUCUACUUUGCAAUGAUGUCUACUAUUUUCUAACAUUUUUUAGUUUGACAAUGGCAGUAGUAGCAUAAAAGAGUACCAUUUUUAUUCGGCCGAAGUUGGUUGCUAAUCGGUAGUUCAAGACUUUGGCACUCAUAUUACACUUUUUCUAGAGGGAAUGGAAUGGGCCCUGUUUUCGGCUUCAAUUAAAUAGAAAAGUGCGCUGUCUUCGAGGUCAUAGAUGAGAGCUGACAAGAUAGAAAAUGGAACUAGAUUAUGAAUCAGGAUGAGAAACUAUUGUUUGUACUUUCAACUUCCUUAGUGGGAGAUGUCUGUGAUAAAAAUCAUGGAGCCAUGUUUUGAAGCAUACUUUUGUCUGCAGGUCGUGCUAACUCCGACACAUUUAGCUAUUGUGAUGGAAUAUGCUGCUGGUGGAGAGCUCUUUGCAAAAAUUUAUAGUGCUGGUGGAUUCAAUGAAGAUGAGGUGUAAACACAUGCAAAAUAUAUUUCGUUUGCCUUGAUCUCAUUUUCUUUUGGCAUUGAUUUUAUAGAAAGAUACUUAUGGGACUUUCUUAUUGUUAAAACGCAGGCUCGCUUUUUCUUCAUUCAUUUUGUAAUUGCUGUCUAUUUAAUUUCUAGAUUGCGGAUGUAUGGUCCUGUGGUGUGACAUUGUACGUGAUGUUGGUGGGAGCUUAUCAUAUUGACUUAAUUGGAUUUUUUUUCAGUAUGACUAUUCAUUCAAAUUCAAUAGUGUAUGCUUGUAAUGGCAUAUUUUUUGACUGAAAUCGAUUCUAAUGCAUAUGAUACCUUUCUUUCAAUGCAGUACAAUGCUAUUAAAUGCUCUUGAGGAGAUGAAAAAGGUUGGCUUUUGGAUAUGCUCAUGAAGAUGACUUCAGUUUGACACAAAUUGUUGCUUUAGUCUAUGUUUUUGUUUGGAAAGAGUACUUUGUUUUUUUGGAUGUGUAAUGGCUGUUACUAGUGGAAUUGAUGUGAAUUUAGUACUCUAUUGUUUGGAUGGAUAAUGGCUGUUAGUACUUGAACUAACGUGGGCUUUGGAACCCAUUUUGGUUAAUGUGUGUUGUGAUGAAUUUAGAGAUGUUUAUAACCAUAUAUAUAUAUUUGAGGGUUCAUUGUACAUUAAUUACUAUCGUUUUUUGCAUUAGUCGAGCCACAAUUUUCUGCUAUGGUUGUUGAAAAUGCAAUAGAAUUGCAGCUCUAGUAGACAAAGUUGUAAGUUCACUAAGUGACGAUUAUUCUUGUCACUGAAUACUAGAAGUGAGAGUGACAAGUUCAAGUCGUCACUGUGCGCGUUCAAAUUUGUGACGACUUCUGCUAUCUUUUAUGACAAAAAAAUUUUGGAAACAGUGACAAGAAACUUCGUCAUAGAAUACUAUUCUUUAGUGACGACUUAGUCUUCGUCAUUAAAUAAUAAUAUUUAGUGACGACUUUGUAGAGGUUGUCACACAUACCCAUUUGUGACAUAGAAUUAGUGACAACGAUGUGACAAUAGAAAAAGUCGUCACUGUACUCAUAUAAUGACGACUUUCUAAUUUUUAGUGAUGACUUUCUAUUGUCACAAAAGGCCAAAUUUUUUGUAGUGACGGCAGCAACCGUAAGGUACAAGAAGAUCAGCUUCUGAACAAACAAAGAUUGCUAGUAAUAGCACAAGGGGAAUUUGGAUGGAUGCUAAAGCUGAACCUUUUGUAUGUUGAAAGGCUAGCUGAAAAACAAAGAAGGAAGAAACAAAUUAGUUAGAUGGUAAAGAUAAUUUGUUCAAUGACCGUAUUUAUAGGAUGGAGGAGGUAGCAGUUGCAAAUGGUUAUAGUAGAACAAUUAAAUCAAUCUUGACUUUUGAUUUUUCUACAUAUAAAUGGUUUAAAUGAAAUAAUAUUACAUUUCAAAGUGUUAGGUAUAGCACAAAAAGUUUUAAAAGACAAUUAAACAUCAAUGGGUGGCCACCUAUCACAAUAGGUUUGUGUAAUGGUGUGGUGUACUCAGCAGAUAUAUCAUUCAAAGUUCAGUGCCAAGAAUUUCAUUUGAUAUAUAGUGGGAUAAUGGAGAACCUUGAAAACAUGAAACACAUUUCCCUAAAAAAAAAAUGAAACACAUUCGAUAAGGUUCUGGAAAAGGAUUAACUCCACUUUGCAUUUUCGAACUUGUACCACUUUAACAAGGUUCCAAACAUAUACUCAGUAGAUAAAUUAAUGUUGACUUUUUAUUUUUCUGCAUAUAAAUGAUUUAAAUGAAAUAGGAUUGCAUUUGAAAGAGUUUGGUAGAGCACAAAAAGUUUUAAAAGAGAAUUAAACCUCAAUGGGUGGCCACCUAUCAUAGUAGGUUUGUGUAGAAUGGCGUGGUAUACACGGCAGAUACAUCAUUGAAAAUUCAUUGUUAAGAAUUUCUUUUACUGAUGGUAACGCAGGCCCAUCACCCGUUAAGAAAAAUUAAAUAUAUAUGUAUAUAAUUAUGAUAUUUAAUUUAAUUAGUUACAAACUUAUAAUAUUGAUAUUAUUAGUUAUAAGUAUUAUGUAAUGUAUAUUAGUAUUUGUAAUAUAAUUGAUAUUAUCAAAUGCUAAUAAUUAUGCAUGUCUACUAAUAGAAAUUAUUAAUAGUUAUAUCAAACUUACUAAUACAUUUAUACUAAAUUCCUAAUUACACUUAACACAAUAACACUCUUUUUCUCAAAAAACCACACAACAAUGAUUUAGUGAUUGUAUUUGUAUCAAAAAUGAAAACUUGACUACUUUAGUUAUGUUUGUUUCAUCAUAUUGGAUUGCAUUUAAAUAACUUUUGUUUGAUUGUUUCUGUGACUUACAUUUGUGAAAUUACAAUGGAUAAUAAUUUGGUGAUGUGUUGGCAUUUAAGUAUUUGAUUCUUUGUUCAAAUUUGACUACAAUGAAAUUGUAUGACAAAUUUUUAUUCGCCCUGUGGGUGCGCCCGUAGGGGAAGCGGGGCAAGGCAGGGACGGGGCCGGGGAGGAGUCCCCCGUCUAACCCCCGCCCCUCCUCCCCCACCCCAUUGCCAUUCCUAAUUUCUUUUGCUAUGUAGUAUAAUAAUGGAAACCUUGAAAACUUGAAACACAUUUACCCAAAAAAAUAUGAAAUACAUUUGACAGGGCUCUAAAAAAUGACUAACUCCACUUUGCACCUUCGAAUUUGUGCCGGUUUAACAAUGUUCCAAACUUAUACUCAGGAGAUAAAUCAAACUUGACUUCUGAUUUUUCUGCAUAUGAAUGGUUUAAAUGAAAUAAGAUUACAAUUCAAAGAGUUUGGUAGAGCGUAAAAAAAGAGAAUUAAACCUCAACGUAUGGCCACCUAUCAAAGUAGGUUUGUGCAGAAUGGUGUGGUAUACAUAGCAGAUAUGUCAUUCAAAGUUCAGAGUCAAGAAUGUCUUUUGCUAUAUAGUGAGAUAAUGGAAAACCUUGAAAUCUUGAAACACUUUUAUAUACCUAAAAAACAAAUUACAAAACAAUGAAUCACAUUUCACAAGGUUCUUGGAAAAGAAUUAACUCCGCUUUGCACCUUCGAACUUCUACCACUUUAAUAAGGUUCCGAGCUUACACUGAGCAGCUAAAUCAAUCUUGACUUUUGAUUUUUCUGCAUAUAAAUGGUUAGAAUGAAAUAUGAUUACAUUUCUAAGAGUUAGGUAGAGCGUAAAAAGUUUUAAGAGGGAAUUAAAUAUAAAUGGGUAGCCACCUAUGAAAAUAGGUUUGUUUAGAAUGGUAUACUGAGCAGAUAUGUGAUCCAGAGUUGAUAGUCAAGAAUUUCUUCUGUUGUAUAGUGGGAUAAUAGAAAACCUUAAAAACUUGAAACAAAAUUACCUAAAAAAAAACAAGGAAACACAUUUAAUAAGGUUCUAGAAAAUAAUUAACUUAACUUUGCAUCUUCGAACUUAUCCCACUUUUUCAUUUUUUACCCUAAAUUUUAAUUUUGAACACUUUACACCCUAAGCUUUAAUUUCACCUGUUAGUCUGGGGCCAUUCAUGUUUGUAAAUUGCAUAAGAGCCAUUCAUUUUCUUGUUAGUUACGUGUACUUGUAGGCUUUUAGCAUCCUCUCAUUAAAAAAUUAAUUUAAAAAAAUGUCCAAGCAUAGGUUUCAAUUUUGUAGUUGAAAUUGAAAAUGUUCACGCAUGUUUAGCUAUUUACACGCCAUAUAGGCUUUCAACCUCCUAACCCUAAAAUUUAGGGGGUUUGGGGGGAAGGGGAGGGUUGGGUGAAGAACAGAGAUUGAAAUAAUAAAUCUUUUGUAGCCUUCAUUAAGGCAUUGAUCGAAUAAGAGAAUUUCUGAAGAGAAAUUAGAAUGAAACAAAUACCUUAAUUGCCCUAACGGAGUGCAAUUGAAUAUAGUUCUCGAGAAUGUAUUUUCCGUUGAUUUCUAUGUAGCUGGUAGUUGUAAAAUUUGUCUGAAGAGACAAUCGAAUACCCCCAAAACUCGCCGAAUUCCUAACAGUUCACAUAUCUUUUGGAGUCGGAUUACAAGUCCGUGUAUGUAUCCCCUAUUUAGAGGUGAAAAUAACAAAAAAAAAACUCAAAAGUUGACUUUCCUGAUAAUAUGUUUUUGCUCCGUCCAAUCCACAUAUGUUUAUACACGAUUCAGCAGUAAAAUUGAAGAAAAGCUCAAAAGUUGACUUUCCCGUUUUAUAAGGAAUUGACUAACUAUUUUGUGGCCAAACCAUUAUCCAUCUUGACCGUCUAAAUGGUGAAUUGCACUUUAAGCUUAAUGCUCAAUAAAACAGAAGUUCUUAACCAUGUUAAGAAAAAAUAGAUGGAAAGGUCUUUUGUCACCUUUUAUUAGUUGUGGUAGUUAUAUAGCAGAAGGAUUACCAUUUGUUAAACUGAGUAAAAGAUUAUUUUUCAUAAAGCAAUUUGGAUGUACACCAUAAGUAAAACAAAAGUUAUGAAAAAUAAAGACUACCUUCCAAUUAGACUUGGUGUACAAUUAUCAGUUGAAGCGAAUUCCACAAUUAGGUGAAGAUUUUAUCUAAGUUUCAAUACACAUCUUUAUUGGUAAACGCACAUAUCAUAUUUUAACACAUUCACGAGCAUACGUAAUUGAAGAACACCAAUAGUGUAAUUCACAAGCUUACGUAAUGCGAAGCCAAGUGUAAUUGAAGAACACCAAUAGUGUUUUUAUUUAGAUGGACAUAUUGACGAAACAAGAAGUGCAUGAAGAAACGUCAUACAUUGAUUACCAAGUACACCUAAGUCCACAAUAACGAUAAAAAUCUAUACUCGGUCUUCUUAUUUAUUAAUUUUCUUUUAUUAGUUAUUUUUUCCCAUCCUCCUUGAUGGAUUUCUUAGUAAGAUAGUCGAGUGAACAAGUAGGUCCUAAGAAACAUAAAUCACCAAGUACGUAUAUGGUCUGUAAUUGGCUUUCCUUAUUAUUAGUUUUUCCUUUAUUAUUCAAACUUUCCCUCCUCCUGGGCAUGAGAUUACGGUAAUAUCGCCCCUUAUAACCGUAUUAUUCCGUGCCGGCCUUUGUAGAACUGUCUGAAAAAAUGCAUAUCCCCGAGCAAACCUAAACGUUUUGGUGCCACCAACUAUUGGAUCUUCUCUCGCCGUACCACCAACUUGUAAGUUAUAUCCUGGUCCUUGGAAUUCCAAUGUGCUACCGUUGUAUUGGGAGUUGGAGAAAAGGACGGAAAAUAUGCCCAGUGAGCGUGAUCCAUCACGGGAUGAAGAUAUAUAAAUGCCUUGGGCCCGACCAAUAGUUGGAGAAUUGUUGCUGAUGCCUUGUGUCAUGUUAGCAUCAUUAACAAUAAUGGUUCCAAAAUUGGAGGGAGUUCUCGGCAUACCAGGGGCGCCGGCAACUGCAACACUGGUGGUAUUUGGUCCGCCCGUAAACAGUUGAAUGUACACAGUAAUAUUUGUUUCCUUUCCACGGCAGCAACGGUAAGGGUCAAGAAGAUUAGCUUCUGAACUAACAAAAAUUGCUAGUAAUAGCACAAGGGAAAUUUGGAUGGAUGCUAAAGCUGAACCUUUUGCCAUUUUGUAUGAUGAAAGGCUAGCUGAAAAACAAAGAAGGAAGAAACAAAUUAGUUAGAUGGUGAAGAUAAAUUGUUCAAUGACCAUAUUUAUAGGAUGGAGGAGGUAGCAGUUGCAAAAUGGUUAUAGUAGAACAAUUAAAUCAAUCUUGACUUUUGAUUUUUCCACAUAUAAAUGGUUUAAAUGAAAUAAUAUUACAUUCCAAAGAGUUAGGUAUAGCACAAAAAGUUUUAAAAGACAAUUAAACAUCAAUGGGUGGCCACCUAUCACAAUAGGUUUGUGUAAUGGUGUGGUGUACUCAGCAGAUAUAUCAUUCAAAGUUCAGAGCCAAGAAUUUCUUUUGAUAUAUAGUGGGAUAAUGGAAAAACUUGAAAACAUGAAACACAUUUCCAUAAAAAAAAUGAAACACAUUCAAUAAGGUUCUGGAAAAGGAUUAACUUCACUCUGCAUUUUCAAACCUGUACCACUUUAACAAGGAUCCGAACAUAUACUCAGGAGAUAAAUUAAUGUUGACUUUUGAUUUUUCUGCAUAUAAAUGUUUUAAAGGAAAUAGGAUUGCAUUUGAAAGAGUUUGGUAGAGCAUAAAAAGUUUUAAAAGAGAAUUAAACCUCAACGGGUGGCCAACUAUCAUAGUAGGUUAGUGUAGAAUGGUGUGGUAUACACGGCAGAUAUAUCAUUCAAAAUUCAUAGUCAAGAAUUUCUUUUAGUGAUGGUAAUCCAGGAGGGUGCCGGUGGGCAAACGGGGCCGGGGGGGGGAGGUAGAAUUGUUUCCCGCAUUAAAAAACUGGGCAGCCGGCGAGGGAGUAUAUCCCCACCCCAUCACCCCUUAAAAACAAUUAAAUUUAUAUGUAUAUAAUUAUAUAUGUGAUAUUUUAUUUAAUUAGUUACAAAUUUAUAAUAAUGAUAUUAUUAGUUAUAAGUAUUAUAUAAUGUAUAUUAGUAUUUGUAAUAUAAUUGAUAUUAUCAAAUGCUAAUAAUUAUACAUGUCUACUAAUAGAAAUUGUUAAUUAGUUAUAUCAAAUUUACUAAUACAUUUAUACUAAAUUCCUAAUUAUACUUAACACAAUAACAUUUUUUGCUCAAAAAAUCACACAACAAUGAUUUAGUGAUUGUAUUUGUAUCAAAAGUGAAAACUUGACUACUUUAGUUGUGUUUGUUUCAUCAUAUUGGAUUGUAUUUAAAUAACUUUUGUUUGAUUGUUUUUAUGACUUACAAUUUUGAAAUUACAAUGGAUAAUGAUUUGGUGAUGUGUUGGCAUUUAAGUAUUUGAUCCUUUGGUCAAAUUUGACUACAAUGAAAUUCUAUGACAAAUUUUUAUUCACCCUGUGAGUGUGCCCGUAUGGGAAGCGGGGCAAGGCGGGGAUAGGGCGGGGGAGGAGUCCCCCGUCUAACCCCCGCCCCAUUGCCAUUCCUAAUUUCUUUUGCUAUAUAGUGUAAUAAUGGAAACCUUGAAAACUUGAAACACAUUUACCGAAAAAAAAUGAAAUACAUUUAACAGGGCUCCGAAAAAUGACAACUCCACUUUGCACCUUCGAAUUUGUACCAGUUUAACAAUGUUCCAAGCUUAUUGUUGGCUUGUCAAACCAGCAAAAAUAAAAGUUCCUACUCUAAAAAUAUGAAUUCGAGUGUAGCGGUGAGUAGGGUCGUAUCCACAGGGAUUGGGUGAUUUAUUUCUUUGUGAAAAAUGGGGGAUUAGGAGAAAUUAACCAAAUAGCUCACUUGAAUAAAAAUAAAGACAGUAUCACAAAAUUAAAUAAAACUAAAUCAAGAAAAGGCAACACUCUAGUCGAAGGUCUAAUCUUCACUUUGGUUCAUUUAACUGAUCAUCGAUGCAAAGGUGAAAUCACUUAUUCAUAAAUAAACUGGUUAUGAUUGUCAACACGUUCUGACAACCUACCUCGCCUUACUGUUUCGAUAACCACAACACACUCUGUGGCUAUUUCUGUUGCCAAUUAAGCAAGCCUAAACAAGCUCUUAGGAUUUAACCUAUUGACAGCAGUAAUAAUUAGAGAAGCUACCAAUUCUAACCAACAAACACACACACUCGGUUCAUUUAAGUUAGAUUAUAUAUUCCCGUGACAUAGAUUCGAAAGUCUAUUUUACAAUCAAAUUAUAUCACGCACCACAGAUACUAAAACCAUCAAAUAAUUACGGAUUUGAUAUUUUAGAUGGCAAUAGAAUAUUUUGACAAUUAAAUAUUGAUCAGGUAUUUAACUGUAGCAAAUAAUCAUAGUCAUGAAUGAGCAGAGAAUAUAUAAAUACUCAUAAAUAAAUGAAGCAAACAAAUCAAAUUAGAUCUCACAGUAUUGUAGAACCAAAGUUUCAAUUAUCCUUCAACUAGAAAAGGAAUUAGCCGCUCCUCCUAGCAAAGUCGCGGCCACAAGGAAUACUAGGGUUUAUUGUAGAGAAAAAGAGGAAAAAGAAUGAGAGCUAGAGAAAGAAUGAGAGCCCACGUCUGUUUUCUCCCCUAUUAAUAGGGGAUGGGCUCCUCUUUUCUUCUAAGACUCCUAGUUCCCCUAAACUAACCAACUAAGACCUUUUAAUUGGUUUCCCAAAAUAAUUACAUCGAAUCAUGGCCCCUCAAGGUCUCCAAUCCGUGGCUAAUGUGUCAGCCCGUGGGAUGCAACCGGCUCCUUGACCAAUUGACAGAUUUAUCUUGUGUCUUGCGAACUUUUGACUGCUUUGCCAAAUAAGGCGUGGGCACGCUUUACAACGAAAGCUCUUCUGGACAUGGACCUUUAGAAGCACCACUUCGAGUUUGACAAAGCGUGGGCACACUUUACAAGACGUCAUUUGCAAAGUCGACUUUUAACGCGCCUUUUACUUCAUUCUCAACAACAAUUCCUAAAAGCAACACCAAAACUCAAAUAUGAGUGAAAUAUAUCGAUUAACGCCAUAUUUUAGCAAAAUAAAGGGGAAAAUAUUCACCAAUUAUAUGCACAAUUAGCCACUUAACACUUAUAUUUAUGAGAUAAAUCAAGCUUGACUUUUGAUUUUUCUGCAUAUGAAUGGUUUAAUUGAAAUAAGAUUACAUUUCAAAGAGUUUGGUAGAGCAUAAAAAGUUUUAAAAGAGAAUUAAACCUCAAUGGGUGGCCACCUAUGAAAGUAGGUUUGUGUAGAAUGGUGUGGUAUACAUAGCAGAUAUAUCAUUCAAAGUUCAGAGUCAAGAAUUUCUUUUGCUAUAUAUAUAGUGAGAUAAUGGAAAGCCUUGAAAUCUUGAAACACUUUUACCUAAAAAACAAAUUACAAAACAAUGAAACACAUUUCACAAGAUUCUGGAAAAGAAUUAACUCCGCUUUGCACCUUCGAAAUUCUACCACUUUAAUAAGGUUCCGAAUUUACAUUGAGUAGCUAAAUCAAUCUUGACUUUUGAUUUUUCUCCAUAUAAAUGGUAUGAAUGAAAUAUGAUUACAUUUCUAAGAGUUAGGUAGAGCGUAAAAAGUUUUAAGAGAGAAUUCAAUAUAAAUGGGUAGCCACCUAUGAAAAUAGGUUUGUAUAGAAUGGUAUACUUAGCAGAUGUAUCAUUCAAAGUUGAUAGUCAAGAAUUUCUUUUGUUGUAUUGUGGGAUAAUGGAAAACCUUAAAAACUUGAAACAAAAUUACCUAAAAAAAAACAAGGAAACACGUUUAAUAAGGUCCUAGAAAAGGAUUAACUUAACUUUGCAUCUUCAAACUUAUCUCACUUUUUCAUUUUAUACCCUAAAUUUUAAUUUUGAACACUUUGCACCCUAAGCUUUACUUUCACCCUUUAGUCUAGGGCCAUUCAUGUUUGCAAAUUGCAUAAGAGCCAUUCAUUUUCUUGUUAGUUACGUGUAGUAGUAGGCUUUUAGCAUCCUCUCAUUAAAAAAUUAAUUUAAAAAAAUGUCCAAGCAUAGGUUUCAAUUUUGUAGUUGAAAUUGAAAAUGUUCACGCAUGUUUAGCUAUUUACACGCCAUAUAGGCUUUCAACCUCCUAACCCUAAAAUUUUGGGGGUUUGGGGGGAAGGGGAGGGUUGGAUGAAGAACAGAGAUUGAAAUAAUAAAUCUUUUGUAGCCUUCAUUAAGGCAUUGAUCGAAUAAGAGAAUUUCUGAAGAGAAAUUAGAAUGAAACAAAUACCUUAAUUGCCCUAAUGAAGUGCAAUUGAAUAUAGUUCUCGAGAAUGUAAUUUCUGUUGAUUUCUAUGUAGCUGGUUGUUGUAAAAUUUGUCUGAAGAGACAAUCGAAUACCCCCAAAACUCGCCGAAUUCCUAACAGUUCACAUAUCUUUUGGAGUCGGAUUACAAGUCCGCGUAUGUCUCCCCUAUUUAGAGGUAAAAAUAACAAAAAAAAAACUCAAAAGUUGACUUUCCUAAUAAUAUGUUUUUGCACCGUCCAAUCCACAUAUGUUUAUAUACGAUUCAGCAAUAAAAUUGAAGAAAAGCUCAAAAGUUGACUUUCUCGUUUUAUAAGGAAUUGACUAACUAUUUUGUGGCCAAACCAUUAUCCAUCUUGACCGUCUAAAUGGUGGAUUGCACUUUAAGCUUAAUGCUCAAUAAAACAGAAGUUCUUAACCAUGUUAAGAAAAAAUAGAUGGAAAGGUCUUUUGUCACCUUUUAUUAGUUGUGGUAGUUAUAUAGCAGAAGAAUUACCAUUUGUUAAACUGAGUAAAAGAUUAUUUUUCAUAAAGCAAUUUGGAUGUACACCAUAUGUAAAACAAAAGUUAUGACAAAUAAAGACUACCUUACAAUUAGACUUGGUGUACAAUUAUCAGUUCAAGCGAAUUCCACAAUUAGGUGAAGAUUUUAUCUAAGUUUCAAUACACAUCUUUAUUGGUAAACGCACAUAUCAUAUUUUAACACAUUCACGAACAUACGUAAUUGAAGAACACCAAUAGUGUAAUUCACAAGCUUACGUAAUGCGGAGCCAAGUGUAAUUGAAGAACACCAGUAGUGUUUUUAUUUAGAUGGACAUAUUGACGAAACAAGAAGUGCAUGAAGAAACGUCAUACAUUGAUUACCAAGUACACCUAAGUCCACAAUAACGAUAAAAAUCUAUACUUGGUGUUCUUAUUUAUUAUUUUUCUUUUAUUAGUUAUUUUUUCCCAUCCUCCUUGAUGGAUUUCUUAGCAAGAUAGUCGAGUGAACAAGUAGGUCAUAAGAAACAUAAAUCACCAAGUACGUAUAUGGUCUGUAACUGGCUUUCCUUAUUAUUAGUUUUUCCUUUAUUAUUCAAACUUUCCCUCCUCCUGGGCAUGAGAUUACGGUAAUAUCGCCCCUUAUAACCGUAUUAUUCCGUGCCGGCCUUUGUAGAACUGUCUGAAAAAAUGCAUAUCCCCGAGCAAACCUAAACGUUUUGGUGCCACCAACUAUUGGAUCUUCUCUCGCCGUACCACCAACUUGUAAGUUAUAUCCUGGUCCUUGGAAUUCCAAUGUGCUACCGUUGUAUUGGGAGUUGGAGAAAAGGACGGAAAAUAUGCCCAGUGAGCGUGAUCCAUCACGGGAUGAAGAUAUAUAAAUGCCUUGGGCCCGACCAAUAGUUGGAGAAUUGUUGCUGAUGCCUUGUGUCAUGUUAGCAUCAUUAACAAUAAUGGUUCCAAAAUUGGAGGGAGUUCUCGGCAUACCAGGGGCGCCGGCAACUGCAACACUGGUGGUAUUUGGUCCGCCCGUAAACAGUUGAAUGUACACAGUAAUAUUUGUUUCCUUUCCACGGCAGCAACGGUAAGGGUCAAGAAGAUUAGCUUCUGAACUAAUAAAAAUUGCUAGUAAUAGCACAAGGGAAAUUUGGAUGGAUGCUAAAGCUGAACCUUUUGCCAUUUUGUAUGAUGAAAGGCUAGCUGAAAAACAAAGAAGGAAGAAACAAAU
rnacentral:lncRNA from 1 species